rnacentral:snRNA from 1 species
GUGCUCGCUUCAACACAUAUACUAAAAUUGGAAUGAUAUAGAGAUUAGCAUGGCCCCUACACAAGGAUGACAUGCAAUUUCGUGAAGCAUUCCAUAUUUAA